rnacentral:rRNA from 1 species
CAACUUACCUAUCAGGGGGGGAUAGCCCGGCGAAAGUCGGAUUAAUACCCCAUAAAACAGGGGUCCCGCAUGGGAAUAUUUGUUAAAGAUUCAUCGCUGAUAGAUAGGCAUGCGUUCCAUUAGGCAGUUGGCGGGGUAACGGCCCACCAAACCGACGAUGGAUAGGGGUUCUGAGAGGAAGGUCCCCCACAUUGGUACUGAGACACGGACCAAACUCCUACGGGAGGCAGCAGUGAGGAAUAUUGGUCAAUGGCCGAGAGGCUGAACCAGCCAAGUCGCGUGAAGGAAGAAGGAUCUAUGGUUUGUAAACUUCUUUUAUAGGGGAAUAAAGUGGAGGACGUGUCCUUUUUUGUAUGUACCCUAUGAAUAAGCAUCGGCUAACUCCGUGCCAGCAGCCGCGGUAAUACGGAGGAUGCGAGCGUUAUCCGGAUUUAUUGGGUUUAAAGGGUGCGUAGGUGGUGAUUUAUGUCAGCGGUGAAAGUUUGUGGCUCAACCAUAAAAUUGCCGUUGAAACUGGGUUACUUGAGUGUGUUUGAGGUAGGCGGAAUGCGUGGUGUAGCGGUGAAAUGCAUAGAUAUCACGAAGAACUCCGAUUG